UUAAAUGAGAGUUUGAUCCUGGCUCAGGACGAACGCUGGCGGCGUGCCUAAUACAUGCAAGUAGAACGCUGACUACUUUAGCUUGCUAGAGUAGAAGGAGUUGCGAACGGGUGAGUAACACGUAGGUAACCUGCCUACUAGCGGGGGAUAACUAUUGGAAACGAUAGCUAAUACCGCAUAACAGUGUUUAACACAUGUUAGAUGCUUGAAAGAUGCAAUUGCAUCACUAGUAGAUGGACCUG
rnacentral:rRNA from 1 species